GGGUUGUGAGGUUAAGCGACUAAGCGUACACGGUGGAUGCCCUGGCAGUCAGAGGCGAUGAAGGACGUGCUAAUCUGCGAAAAGCGUCGGUAAGGUGAUAUGAACCGUUAUAACCGGCGAUGUCCGAAUGGGGAAACCCAGUGUGAUUCGUCACACUAUCGUUAACUGAAUACAUAGGUUAACGAGGCGAACCGGGGGAACUGAAACAUCUAAGUACCCCGAGGAAAAGAAAUCAACCGAGAUUCCCCCAGUAGCGGCGAGCGAACGGGGAGCAGCCCAGAGUCUGAAUCAGCUUGUGUGUUAGUGGAACGGUCUGGAAAGUCCGACGGUACAGGGUGAUAGUCCCGUACACCAAAAUGCACAGGCUGUGAACUCGAAGAGUAGGGCGGGACACGUGGUAUCCUGUCUGAAUAUGGGGGACCAUCCUCCAAGGCUAAAUACUCCUGACUGACCGAUAGUGAACCAGUACCGUGAGGGAAAGGCGAAAAGAACCCCGGCGAGGGGAGUGAAAAAGAACCUGAAACCGUGUACGUACAAGCAGUGGGAGCACCUUCGGGUGUGACUGCGUACCUUUUGUAUAAUGGGUCAGCGACUUAUAUUCUGUAGCAAGGUUAACCGUAUAGGGGAGCCGCAGGGAAACCGAGUCUUAACUGGGCGUUAAGUUGCAGGGUAUAGACCCGAAACCCGGUGAUCUAGCCAUGGGCAGGUUGAAGGUUGGGUAACACUAACUGGAGGACCGAACCGACUAAUGUUGAAAAAUUAGCGGAUGACUUGUGGCUGGGGGUGAAAGGCCAAUCAAACCGGGAGAUAGCUGGUUCUCCCCGAAAGCUAUUUAGGUAGCGCCUCGUGAACUCAUCUUCGGGGUAGAGCACUGUUUCGGCUAGGGGGUCAUCCCGACUUACCAACCCGAUGCAAACUACGAAUACCGAAGAAUGUUAUCACGGGAGACACACGGCGGGUGCUAACGUCCGUCGUGAAGAGGGAAACAACCCAGACCGCCAGCUAAGGUCCCAAAGUCAUGGUUAAGUGGGAAACGAUGUGGGAAGGCACAGACAGCCAGGAUGUUGGCUUAGAAGCAGCCAUCAUUUAAAGAAAGCGUAAUAGCUCACUGGUCGAGUCGGCCUGCGCGGAAGAUGUAACGGGGCUAAACCAUGCACCGAAGCUGCGGCAGCGACACUAUGUGUUGUUGGGUAGGGGAGCGUUCUGUAAGCCUGCGAAGGUGACCUGUGAGGGUUGCUGGAGGUAUCAGAAGUGCGAAUGCUGACAUAAGUAACGAUAAAGCGGGUGAAAAGCCCGCUCGCCGGAAGACCAAGGGUUCCUGUCCAACGUUAAUCGGGGCAGGGUGAGUCGACCCCUAAGGCGAGGCCGAAAGGCGUAGUCGAUGGGAAACAGGUUAAUAUUCCUGUACUUGGUGUUACUGCGAAGGGGGACGGAGAAGGCUAUGUUAGCCGGGCGACGGUUGUCCCGGUUUAAGCAUGUAGGCUGGUUAUCCAGGCAAAUCCGGAUAAUCAAGGCUGAGGUGUGAUGACGAGGCACUACGGUGCUGAAGUAACAAAUGCCCUGCUUCCAGGAAAAGCCUCUAAGCAUCAGGUAACAUCAAAUCGUACCCCAAACCGACACAGGUGGUCAGGUAGAGAAUACCAAGGCGCUUGAGAGAACUCGGGUGAAGGAACUAGGCAAAAUGGUGCCGUAACUUCGGGAGAAGGCACGCUGGUGUGUAGGUGAAGCCCCUGCGGGUGGAGCUGAGACCAGUCGAAGAUACCAGCUGGCUGCAACUGUUUAUUAAAAACACAGCACUGUGCAAACACGAAAGUGGACGUAUACGGUGUGACGCCUGCCCGGUGCCGGAAGGUUAAUUGAUGGGGUUAUCCGUAAGGAGAAGCUCUUGAUCGAAGCCCCGGUAAACGGCGGCCGUAACUAUAACGGUCCUAAGGUAGCGAAAUUCCUUGUCGGGUAAGUUCCGACCUGCACGAAUGGCGUAAUGAUGGCCAGGCUGUCUCCACCCGAGACUCAGUGAAAUUGAACUCGCUGUGAAGAUGCAGUGUACCCGCGGCAAGACGGAAAGACCCCGUGAACCUUUACUAUAGCUUGACACUGAACAUUGAGCCUUGAUGUGUAGGAUAGGUGGGAGGCUUUGAAGCGUGGACGCCAGUCUGCGUGGAGCCAACCUUGAAAUACCACCCUUUAAUGUUUGAUGUUCUAACGUUGGCCCCUUACCGGGGUUGCGGACAGUGUCUGGUGGGUAGUUUGACUGGGGCGGUCUCCUCCCAAAGCGUAACGGAGGAGCACGAAGGUUAGCUAAUCCUGGUCGGACAUCAGGAGGUUAGUGCAAUGGCAUAAGCUAGCUUGACUGCGAGCGUGACGGCGCGAGCAGGUGCGAAAGCAGGUCAUAGUGAUCCGGUGGUUCUGAAUGGAAGGGCCAUCGCUCAACGGAUAAAAGGUACUCCGGGGAUAACAGGCUGAUACCGCCCAAGAGUUCAUAUCGACGGCGGUGUUUGGCACCUCGAUGUCGGCUCAUCACAUCCUGGGGCUGAAGUAGGUCCCAAGGGUAUGGCUGUUCGCCAUUUAAAGUGGUACGCGAGCUGGGUUUAGAACGUCGUGAGACAGUUCGGUCCCUAUCUGCCGUGGGCGCUGGAGAAUUGAGGGGGCUGCUCCUAGUACGAGAGGACCGGAGUGGACGCAUCACUGGUGUUCGGGUUGUCAUGCCAAUGGCACUGCCCGGUAGCUAAAUGCGGAAGAGAUAAGUGCUGAAAGCAUCUAAGCACGAAACUUGCCCGAGAUGAGUUCUCCCUGAGACUUUAAGUCUCCUGAAGGAACGUUGAAGACGACGACGUUGAUAGGCCGGGUGUGUAAGCGCAGCGAUGCGUUGAGCUAACCGGUACUAAUGAACCGUGAGGCUUAACCUUACAACGCCGAAG
rnacentral:rRNA from 1 species